GUCACUUUUAGAAUAAGUGCGAUGUGGUGCUGAGAAGAAUUUAUAUUCUGUCGAUUUGGAAUAGAGAGAUCUGUAGAUGUAUAUUAGGUCUGCUUGGGCCAGAGCUGAGUUCAAGUCCUGAAUAUCCUUGUUAAUUUUCUGUCUCAUUGAAUCUGACUAAUAUUGACAGUGGGGUGUUAAGUUCUCCCACUAUUAUUGUGUGGGAGUCUAAGUCUCUUUGUAGGUAUCUAAGAACUUGCUUUAUGAAUCUGGGUGCUCCUGUAUUGGGUUCAUAUAUACUUAGGAUAGUUAACUCUUCUUGUUGCAUUGAAACUUUUACCAUUAUGUAAUGCCCUUCUUUGUCUUUUUUGAUCUUUGUUGGAUUAAAGUCUAUUUUCUCAGAGACUAGGAUUGCAGCCCCUGCUUUUUUUUUUCUUUUGCUUUCCAUUUGCUUGGUAAAUAUUCCUCCAUCCCUUUAUUUUGAUCCUAUGUGUGUCUUUGCACAUGAGAUGUGUCUCCUGAAUACAGCACAUUAAUGGAUCUUGACUGUUUAUCCAAUUUGCCAGUCUACGUCUUUUAAUUGGGGCAUUUAGCCCGUUUACAUUUAAGGUUAUAUUGUUACAUGUGAAUUUGAUCUUGUCAUUAUGAUGUUAGCUGGUUAUUUUGCCCAUUAGUUGAGGCAGUUUCUUCCUAGUGUCAAUGGUCUUUACAUUUUGGUAAGGUUUCGCAGUGGCUGGUACUGUUUUUUCCUUUCCAUGUUUAGUGCUUCCUUAAGGAGCUCUUAUAAUGUAUGUCUGGUGGUGACAAAAUCCCUCAGCAUUUGCUUCUCUGCAAAGGAUUUUAUUUCUCCUUCGCUUAUGAAGCUUAGUUUGGCUGGUUAUGAAAUUCUUGGUUGAAAAUUCUUUUCUUUAAGAAUGUUGAAUAUUGGCCCCCGCUAUCUUCUGGCUUGUAGGGUUUCUGCUGAGAGAUUCACUGUUAGUCUGAUGGGCUUCCCUUUGUGGGUAACCCGACUUUUCUCUCUGGCUGCCCUUAACAUUUUUUCCUUCAUUUCAACCUUGGUGAAUCUGAAGAUUAUGUGUCUUGGCGUUGCUCUUCUCGAGGAGUAUAUUUGUGGUGUUCUCUGUAUUUCCUGAAUUUGAAUGUUGGCCUUUCUUGCUAGGUUGGGGAAGUUCUGUAUAAUAUCCUGAAGAGUGUUUUCCACCUUGGUUCCAUUCUCCCCAUCACUUUCAGGUACACCAAUCAAACGUAGGUUUGGUCUUUUCACAUAGUCCCAUAUUUCUUGGAGGCUUAGUUUGUUCCUUUUCAUUCUUUUUUCUGUAAUCUUCUCUUCACACUUUAUUUCAUUAAGUUGAUCUUCAUUCUCUUGAAGAUUGAUUUCCUCUGCUUGAUCGAUUUGGCUAUUUAUACUUGUAUAUGCUUCACGAAGUUCUUGUGUUGAGAUUUUCAGCUCCAUCAGGUCAUUUAUAUUCUUCUUUAAACUGGUUAUUCUAACUAGCAGUUCCUGUAACCUUUUACCCGUGUUCUUAGCUUCCUGGCAUUGGGUUAGAACAUGCUCCUUUAGCUGGAAGGAGUUUGUUAUUACCCCCCUUCGAAGCCUACUUCUGUCAAUUUGUGAAACUCAUUCUCCAUCCAGUUUUGUUCCCUUGCUGGUGAGGAACUGUGAUCCUUUGGAGGAGAAGAGGCAUUCGGUUUUUGGAAUUUUCCACUUUUUGUGCUGGAUUUUCCCUCAUCUUUGUGGAUUUAUCUACCUUUGGUCUUUGAUGUUGGUGACCUUCUGAUGGUGUUUUUGUGUGGGCGUCGUUCUGUGGAUGUUGAUGCUAUUGCUUUCUGCUUGUUAGUUUUCCUUCUAACAUUCAGGUCCCUCUGCUGCAGGUCUACUGGAGUUUGCUGGAGGUCUACUCCAGACCCUGUUUGCCCAGGUAUCACCAGCAGAGGCUGCAGAACAGGAAAGUUUGCUGCCUGCCCUCUCCUCUGGAAGCUUCAUCCCAGAGGGGCACCCGCCAGACACCAGAUCUUCACAUAUAUCUCAAGAUAUUUAAUGAAAUGUAAACACUCAUGAUAACUACAGUAGUGAAAAGAAUGUGAUUCUUCUAUAUAAAUGCAUCUAGAUCAUUUGCUUCCUGUAAAAUAUACCAUUAAUGCAAAGAUUAAUUUUUAAUUUUCUUACAUGUCAACAGUUCCAUUUAUUUAAUAGAGGCUUAAAAUUAUGAUUUUUUUCUUUGUAUAUUAAAGUUUUCAUUUUUAUUUUCAAAAACCAAACUAAUGUGGUAAGAAGCCAAGAUAUUUACACAUCCCCCCAAAAGGAAUAUCCUGAAGAAGUAAUAUUGUCCAAUAAUCAGAGAACAGACAAAUGUAGAAGGGAAGAACCUGUGUACUCAAUUAUUUGAUUGCUAAAUAUUUGCUGAACAAUG
rnacentral:lncRNA from 1 species